rnacentral:rRNA from 1 species
GGGUUGUGAGGUUAAGCGACUAAGCGUACACGGUGGAUGCCCUGGCAGUCAGAGGCGAUGAAGGACGUGCUAAUCUGCGAAAAGCGUCGGUAAGGUGAUAUGAACCGUUACAGCCGGCGAUGUCCGAAUGGGGAAACCCAGUGCAAUUCGUUGCACUAUCGUUAACUGAAUACAUAGGUUAACGAGGCGAACCGGGGGAACUGAAACAUCUAAGUACCCCGAGGAAAAGAAAUCAACCGAGAUUCCCCCAGUAGCGGCGAGCGAACGGGGAGCAGCCCAGAGUCUGAAUCAGCUUGUGUGUUAGUGGAACGGUCUGGAAAGUCCGACGGUACAGGGUGAUAGUCCCGUACACCAAAAUGCACAGGUUGUGAACUCGAAGAGUAGGGCGGGACACGUGGUAUCCUGUCUGAAUAUGGGGGGACCGAUCCUCCAAGGCUAAAUACUCCUGACUGACCGAUAGUGAACCAGUACCGUGAGGAAAGGCGAAAAGAACCCCGGCGAGGGAGUGAAAAAGAACCUGAAACCGUGUACGUACAAGCAGUGGGAGCACCUUCGGGUGUGACUGCGUACCUUUGUAUAAUGGGUCAGCGACUUAUAUUCUGUAGCAAGGUUAACCGUAUAGGGAGCCGCAGGAAACCGAGUCGUUAACUGGGCGUUAAGUUGCAGGGUAUAGACCCGAAACCCGGUGAUCUAGCCAUGGGCAGGUUGAAGGUUGGGUAACACUAACUGGAGGACCGAACCGACUAAUGUUGAAAAAUUAGCGGAUGACUUGUGGCUGGGGGUGAAAGGCCAAUCAAACCGGGAGAUAGCUGGUUCUCCCCGAAAGCUAUUUAGGUAGCGCCUCGUGAACUCAUCUUCGGGGGUAGAGCACUGUUUCGGCUAGGGGUCAUCCCGACUUACCAACCCGAUGCAAACUACGAAUACCGAAGAAUGUUAUCACGGGAGACACACGGCGGGUGCUAACGUCCGUCGUGAAGAGGGAAACAACCCAGACCGCCAGCUAAGGUCCCAAAGUCAUGGUUAAGUGGGAAACGAUGUGGGAAGGCACAGACAGCCGUGAUGUUGGCUUAGAAGCAGCCAUCAUUUAAAGAAAGCGUAAUAGCUCACUGGUCGAGUCGGCCUGCGCGGAAGAUGUAACGGGGCUAAACCAUGCACCGAAGCUGCGGCAGCGACACUAUGUGUUGUUGGGUAGGGGAGCGUUCUGUAAGCCUGCGAAGGUGACCUGUGAGGGUUGCUGGAGGUAUCAGAAGUGCGAAUGCUGACAUAAGUAACGAUAAAGCGGGUGAAAAGCCCGCUCGCCGGAAGACCAAGGGUUCCUGUCCAACGUUAAUCGGGGCAGGGUGAGUCGACCCCUAAGGCGAGGCCGAAAGGCGUAGUCGAUGGGAAACAGGUUAAUAUUCCUGUACUUGGUGUUACUGCGAAGGGGGGACGGAGAAGGCUAUGUUAGCCGGGCGACGGUUGUCCCGGUUUAAGCAUGUAGGCUGGUUAUCCAGGCAAAUCCGGAUAAUCAAGGCUGAGGUGUGAUGACGAGGCACUACGGUGCUGAAGUAACAAAUGCCCUGCUUCCAGGAAAAGCCUCUAAGCAUCAGGUAACAUCAAAUCGUACCCCAAACCGACACAGGUGGUCAGGUAGAGAAUACCAAGGCGCUUGAGAGAACUCGGGUGAAGGAACUAGGCAAAAUGGUGCCGUAACUUCGGGAGAAGGCACGCUGGUGUGUAGGUGAAGUCCCUGCGGAUGGAGCUGAGACCAGUCGAAGAUACCAGCUGGCUGCAACUGUUUAUUAAAAACACAGCACUGUGCAAACACGAAAGUGGACGUAUACGGUGUGACGCCUGCCCGGUGCCGGAAGGUUAAUUGAUGGGGUUAUCCGUAAGGAGAAGCUCUUGAUCGAAGCCCCGGUAAACGGCGGCCGUAACUAUAACGGUCCUAAGGUAGCGAAAUUCCUUGUCGGGUAAGUUCCGACCUGCACGAAUGGCGUAAUGAUGGCGGGCUGUCUCCACCCGAGACUCAGUGAAAUUGAACUCGCUGUGAAGAUGCAGUGUACCCGCGGCAAGACGGAAAGACCCCGUGAACCUUUACUAUAGCUUGACACUGAACAUUGAGCCUUGAUGUGUAGGAUAGGUGGGAGGCUUUGAAGCGUGGACGCCAGUCUGCGUGGAGCCAACCUUGAAAUACCACCCUUUAAUGUUUGAUGUUCUAACGUUGGCCCCUUACCGGGGUUGCGGACAGUGUCUGGUGGGUAGUUUGACUGGGGCGGUCUCCUCCCAAAGCGUAACGGAGGAGCACGAAGGUUAGCUAAUCCUGGUCGGACAUCAGGAGGUUAGUGCAAUGGCAUAAGCUAGCUUGACUGCGAGCGUGACGGCGCGAGCAGGUGCGAAAGCAGGUCAUAGUGAUCCGGUGGUUCUGAAUGGAAGGGCCAUCGCUCAACGGAUAAAAGGUACUCCGGGGAUAACAGGCUGAUACCGCCCAAGAGUUCAUAUCGACGGCGGUGUUUGGCACCUCGAUGUCGGCUCAUCACAUCCUGGGGCUGAAGUAGGUCCCAAGGGUAUGGCUGUUCGCCAUUUAAAGUGGUACGCGAGCUGGGUUUAGAACGUCGUGAGACAGUUCGGUCCCUAUCUGCCGUGGGCGCUGGAGAAUUGAGGGGGGCUGCUCCUAGUACGAGAGGACCGGAGUGGACGCAUCACUGGUGUUCGGGUUGUCAUGCCAAUGGCACUGCCCGGUAGCUAAAUGCGGAAGAGAUAAGUGCUGAAAGCAUCUAAGCACGAAACUUGCCCCGAGAUGAGUUCUCCCUGAGACUUUAAGUCUCCUGAAGGAACGUUAAAGACGAUGACGUUGAUAGGCCGGGUGUGUAAGCGCAGCGAUGCGUUGAGCUAACCGGUACUAAUGAACCGUGAGGCUUAACCUUACAACGCCGAAG